UACGUAGGGUGCGAGCGUUAAUCGGAAUUACUGGGCGUAAAGCGUGCGCAGGCGGCGCGUUUAAGACAGGUGUGAAAGCCCCGAGCUUAACUUGGGAAUUGCGCUUGUGACUGGCGUGCUGGAGUGUGGCAGAGGGAGGUGGAAUUCCACGUGUAGCAGUGAAAUGCGUAGAGAUGUGGAGGAACACCGAUGGCGAAGGCAGCCUCCUGGGCCAGCACUGACGCUCAUGCACGAAAGCGUGGGGAGCAAACAGGAUUGAGAA
rnacentral:rRNA from 1 species